rnacentral:lncRNA from 1 species
UCCUUAUAAAUUAGAAAUUAGGGUUCUUCCUCUGUCACUAUGUACGACUGUUGUAGUACUGCCGAGUGUCGAUGCUCCUGUGGCGCCUUCUUCCUCAGCUCGUCGCUGUCGUCGGUCGCUCAUCCUUCUUCUUCAGGUUAGUGGUUACCUUCUUCCUCAGAUUUAGUUGAGCUGAGACUUAUUUCUACAUAUAACAGCUACAUAGUACUAUUUUUCUUACUUUUAAUUUGUUAGGAGAAUUUAAACAAAUUAUAAAAAAGAAGAAGGAUCAUAAGAUGGAAGAGACGAUGAAACCUGCAUUAUUAGAAGGAUUAAUGGCUAAGAAAUUCUUUGCCGAAUGUGGGAUCCACAGAAAUAGGAGGAAAAAAUGAGAAAAUAUCUUCUGCUUAGAGUGUUGUCAAAGCUUUUGCCCUCACUGCCUUCCUUCUCAUCAUUUUUGUCCUCUUCUCUUGGUCUCUCUCUGUAUAAUUAUGUAGUAGAUAAAACUUCAAGUAUUCAUUUGAGGUUUUUGUUUCCUAAUUAAGAAUUUAAUUAUUUACUCAUAAAGCUUCCUCUCUUUUGUUAAUAUGUCUUACAUAUGUGCUAUUUUGUUAUUUUCUUGAAUUUGAUUUUAUUUAUUCGAGAAUAAGUUUGAAUUUUUAAAAGUAUAAAUAUGGAACUAAGAAGUUUGCUUCAUAAGGUAAUUCUUGUUAGGUGGUAUCAAAAUUUCUCAUUCUUUGCUUUUUUGGCAAGUUGGAAGUGAGAGGGAGGGAAACUGACUCUAAUUUGUGUAAAAAUAUUCUUUAACUUUUAUAUUUUUAAAAUUAAAAGAAGUGCUUUUUUUAAAUUGUUUAUUCAUUAAAUUAAUUUAAACGGAGCAAUAUAGGCAUUGAAAAUUCAUAUAAUUGUUUCAAAUUUGUUUGGACUUAGACCAACUGUUGGUAAUUAUUUGCCCUUCUCAUUCCUUAGCUAAAUUGUGUUUGUAUUUCCAUUUUCCGUCUUAGGAUCAGAAUGCAUGCCAAAGAGAUGCCAAAAAGCUUUCAAUUCUCAAAAUCAGAAUGCAUGUCAAUUAGUCUCUAUUACAGCUUUCUGAUUUUCAUAUGGAAAUUGGAAUGAAAUUUUUUUUUAUUUCUUCUUGUUUGAAGUUUUUAAUGGCACGUCUGAAAUCUUUCAGUGGUACGUAUAUUAUAUUCAGUUACAUAAGUAGUCCACAUCGAAUAUAAAAAUCUUGAACCGUUAAUAACCGAAAAACUAAACCGCAAAAAAUCGAACCGAACUUUGAAAAAAUCGCACUGAACCGUAAAUACUUUGGUUUGAUUUGGUUAUUAAUAUUACAAAAUCGAAAACCGAUAAACCGAACCGUACUUUCAUAAUAACCGACCGCACCGACCGACGCCCACCCCUACGUGUGUGUAUAAUGGUAAUAAAAAUAUAAGUUGUCUGACAAGACUAAAACUUAUUCACAACUAGUAAGUAUUACCUAUAUGGAUCUUUUUCUGCCAUUGUGCCAUAUCUUUAGCCAAAUCUGCUUUAAUUCCAAGGAUUUGUAAGUCUUUCAAGACAACUUUCUUUCACGUGAUUUUAGGUCUACCCUAUUCCUUUUUAACACCUUCACUAAUUAAAGUUUCAUACGUAUGAACAUGUGCUUUUGUAGGUCGAUGCAGGACAUGACUAAACUAUCUCAAACGACCUUCUCUCAUUUUAUUCUCAAUGUGUGGCACUUGCACCUUCUAGAAAAUAUAGUAAUUUUUAAUCUUAUCUAAUUUUGUAUGGCCGCAUAUCCAUCAUUACAUCCAUAUUUUUGUAACACUAAUCUCGUGGAUAUGUUAAACUUUAGCAGCCCAACGUUCACUACCAUAAUAUUGCGAGUCUUAUAAUUAUUCUUUAGAACUUAAUUUUUAUUUUGUUAGGCAUCCUUCUGUCACAUAAUUUCUGAAGCGACAAUAUACUUACUUAAUUUGGAGUAAGAUAUUUAACUUAUCGAGCAAAAAAAUAAUAGACUCUAAGUAUGCAGAAGAAAGUCUUUCUUAUACAUGAAGCAUACAGUCUGAACGUAGUCCUCUCUUUGGAUCCAGAAGAGUAAUUUCUCAAUACAAAAUUUAUAUCUGCUAUAUAUGUCUUGAAUUUUGACCCAUGUACUUUAAAGACCUAAGAACGAAGAACCGUGGGAGUAAUUUCAUGAGUAGUUCCUAAACUAAAAUUACAUUAUCUCACAGUAGUAUCGAAACAAAAUUUUGUAACUUUAAUAUACCUAUGCUGUAUCCAUAUACAUUAGAAAGUAUCACUCACUGUAAAGGUAAACUUCCGGCCAUCUUUCAUAUAAAAUAAUUUUAAAAUCUCAUAAUUUUUAUAUUGCCCAUUAUUAAGAACACCACCCAAUUAUUUAUCCAUUUGAGAGAGAACCAACCCACUUUUUAAUACCGGUCACUAUGUAAAAUAAAUAACAUACUCUUAACAUUGCAACAUGAAAUGCUAAUAUAAUGAUCAAAUAUUGACAUAAAGACGAAGGAACAUUGCGUUUAUAGUGCACCCAAUUUUUCCUUUACAAUAUAAAAUGUCAAAAAAGGCCCUUCGAAUUUGUUGAACGUUCACCAGUAGUUGGUGUUCUUCAUCCUUCUUACCUUGGUCUGAAAGUCACUGAAUUGUAAUAAUUUACUCAAAUAUAUUAUUUCAAAAAUAUGUAUUGGUUGAAAUAAGUUAUUAGUGGGACGAAAAGAAUGCAGUAGUUUGUUCGUUUUCAUCUCAUGCAGUUGUUAAAGGUUGUCGACUAACAGGUAGGAUAGGCAAGCUACUGAUAAUUACUUGAAUAGCGUGAUUCAUAAUUUUAAUCACUAGUGUUCCGUCAUAAAUGGUCCAUAAAUUCACAUUGACUGUGAACAGCCGUUGACUUUUUUAAUCGUUAACAUUAAACUAUGAUGCAGAAAAAUAAAGAAAAAUUUAAACAAAACACAACUUUUUUAACGUAAUUUACAAGAAUUACAACUACUUUCACAAAAUUUUAUAAAUACAAUUUAUUUCUUUUUUAUUAGAUUAUAUACAAUUUUCAUAUCUAUUCUUUCUCACCUAAACAUAUCUAUCCAUAUCCCUAAAAGAUUGUGUUUUGUUUAAAUUUCUCAAAAAACAAAAGUUCAAGAAGAACACAACCCAAAAAUUCUCCACCUAAAAGUAUUCAAGCUCUAGUCAUGCCUAUCUAUAGGCAUGCAAUAUUAAUUGGAUUUAAAUUGAUAAUAUAAUUUGGACCAUAUUUUAAAUAUAUUAGUCUAAAUAAAUAUUAUAGGCUAAUAUAAUUGGAUUAUUUAUAUAAAUCCAAUAUAUAUGAGUUAAAUAAAUGAGUCUGAAUCCAUUAGACUAGCUCAUUUAAUUGGGCUACAAGUGAUGAUCCCACUUCAUUAAGCCCAAUAUAUUAUCUUCCUAGAGGCACAGUUUGGUGCCACGUGUCAAAUAAUGUGGCACGCCAAGUCAAAUGGAAGAGCCAAUAUGAUCAUGUUACGUGUCAAAAAUGACAAGGCAUGCCAAGUCAAAUUAAAAGGCCAAUGAAACUGCAUUACAUGUACAAAUGAUAUGCUUUGGCCUAUUAAAUGCGUCAUUGUCAAGCUUCAAUCUAAUUGGUUGGAAAGAGUUGGUUUUCAUCACAACUAUAAAUAGGGGUUUUCAUAACUCAGAAAAGACACCAGAGAUCAUAAGAAGAAGCAAGAGAGACCUCGUGGAUCAAACGCCGCAAAAUUGUCUAUAAGCUUCAAGCAUUCAAGUUUAAGUUCAAGAAAUCAAGUUCAAACUCAAGAACUAAGAACAAAUCAAGGUUCAAGGAGUACGAGUUCAAAUCAAAGUUCGUGCUAGUAGAAUUCAAGAUCAUCGUUCGUGGCAAUAAAUAUAGAUCAAAGAUCAAGCUCUACGCUUCAAUUUAUCUUAGAAAAGAAUCAGAGGGUUCAUAGAGAUUUUACACUCAUAUUGUUUGAAACAAAAAAUACUACGAUUAUCGCAAUAUAUCUUAGUCUCAGUUAUUUUCUUGAUGCAAAUUUAUUGUCAAUAAUAUGGCACGCCCAGUGGAACAAUCUCUACCUCUCAUCUCAACGUUUUAAUGACCAAAGUUCAAGAAUAUCGGAAUGGCUUCAUAGAAAUUCAACUCCAUAUCAAUUUCCACUAAGGACGUUAUUUCCAAGUUGUAUGCUGAUGUAGAAAGCAUCCUCGAUAUUACCUUUGAAAGCUUUGGGCCAGUUACAAGGAGCAAAAUAAACCUUUUAGGAUAGUGAACACUCCAAAGUGUCAUCCGCAUCAACCCUUAUUUUCGGAUCUUCAGCCUCAAAAGGAGCAAGAUCCUCAACAAGCACGACCCAAAAAGGGAAAGGCAUUUCCAAAAGGAUCAAAAAGGUUCUUAUAACGACCUGGCCCGUCAUUUUUAGAUUUAGCAUUUCGUUUAGUGGUUCGAGGUCUUGAGUGGCUUCAUACUAUAUAUUAUGACGUACGUGUAUGAUCGAUUUUGGUUUUCGAGCAGUUCGAGAUUUAUAUGGAAGAAUGAUUCUCAUUUUAGAAGCCUUAAGUUGAAAGAGUUGACCAAGUUUGACUUUUAUUUAUUUGCCCUCGGAUAGGAGUUUUGAUAUUUCCGUUAGAUUCAAAUGGUGAUUUUGAACUUGGGAAUAUGCCCGGAUUUGUAUUUGAAUAUUUCUAGAAGCUUUUGACUCUAAUUGGCGAAAGUUGGCAAUUUUAAGAUUUAGAAAUUUUCUAAGUUUGAUCCUUAGUUGACUUUAUGGCUAUCAGGAUCGGAUUUUGAUUUUGGGACUUGGAAUAGGUCUGUGUUGUCAUUUAGAAUUUAUGUGCAAAGUUUGGUCUCAUUUCGAGUUGGUUUGACGGGAAUCAGACGCUUGGUUGUGAUUUUGAAAGUUCUUGAGUUUCAUUAUGAUUUUGAUGUGUUUUGGUAUUCGAUUCAUGGUUUUAUAUGUUAUUUUGAUGAUAAGAGAAUGAGAGCGGGUUUGUAUGAGGUUUAUGUACUUGUUGGUAUGAUUGGAUGAGGUCCCGAGGGGCUCGGGUAUAUUUUGGGUCAUUGGUUGAGAGACUAGUUAAGUUAAUGAAUUGGAAUUUGACCAUGGUCAAUAUCGGGUUAAGAUGACCUCUUUUCGAUGUUCUGAGUGAAAGAUUAGGUCCUAGCGUAUUUUAUAAUAGAAAUGCAUAUAUGACUUGUGUUCGGGAGGUUGCGGAUGAGUUUCGAUGUGAUUUCGGAUCAUUUCGGUGAAGUUUGGGAUUGCUGGUGCUGGUACUUCGCAAUUGCAAACAUGUGGUCGCAAUUGCAAACAUCUAUAAUUGCAAACUUUUGAUCGUAAAUGCGACAUCUUCAGUUGGGUUAAGGGUUGGAUUUUCGGGAUUUUAGCUUAUUCUUUCAUAUUUUGGGCCCUAGACUUGGUAGGAGGCAAUUUGGAGAGGGUAAUUUUCAUCUAUAAUUAUUGGGUAAGUGAUUCUAAUCAAUUUCCAACUAUAUUUCAUGAUUAUAUAUAUAUAUAUAUAUAUAUAUAUAUAUAUAUAUAUUAUUUAAACAUCAAAUUUAUGAGAAUCAAAGAGAAAUUUGGGGAUUUUUGUCAAAGGUUAAAAACAAAAAAGGUUUUGAAAGUCGAUUUGAAAACAAAAUACACAUAUGAACUCGUGGGGUUAUGGAUUGUCGGAAUCUACACUUGGACUCGAGUUUUAAUCGGGCAGACCUUGAUUGACUUUUGUUGACUUUUGGAGAAUUGUGUAAAGAUCAUAGCUUUAUCUAUCGCAAUUUGUUUCCCUUUCAUUAUUUGAUGAUAUUGAGUCAUUUUUUGUUACAUUUGAGCCGUGUGGAGAUAAAUUUUAGGGAAAAAGCUAUUUUCGAGGGUUGAUUUUGCCUAGUUGAGGUAAGUAUCUUGUCUAACUUUAUGUGGGAGAACUACCCCAAAGGGAUUGGGUUGAUUGCACUAUUUAAAUUACGUGAAAAACGUGUAUAGGUGAUGAGUGAGUACAUGACUUUAUAUGUGAAAAUUUGACCGAUUUAGACUCUUAGGUUUCUUAUGUACGUUAAAUUGGAGUAGUCCUAUCAUGUUAUAUCCUCCAUUGUUAAACUUACUCUUACAUGCUUUAUUUGAAAUUGUUUGUACAUGUUCUAUCUCUUAUUGCCAAAUAGACUCUUAUAUGCUUUAAUUGAAGUUGUCUCUUUUAUUGUCAUAUUAUCUCAUCUAUUGUUGAUUUAUUCUUAUUUGAAGUCAUUACUACAUGUUAUCUCUUUCAUUAUUGAGUUAUUCUUAUUUGAAGUCAUUAUUAUUUGUUAUCUCUUUCAUUAUUGAGCAUAUUCUUCCGUUUCAUUGUGUUGUUGAAUUUCUUAUGUUGAUUUACUUAUCGUACUCCCGUGUUAUUUUCGUUGUUGCUGUACUCAGUGUUGUUGAGCCGUGGGCUAUGUGUGGUUGUGGUAUUGAAAUUGUUGUUAUGGAAAUAUUGUGGCAUAUGAGAACAAGUGGUGCGAGUUAUUAUAUUGUGUUGUUAUAUUUCUUUUGGCACAUGUGGAGUUGUUGAGAGGAUUGCCGGGGUGUUUGCACGUAAGUUGUCCAUGCUAUUGUUAUUAUUGAUAUUUGUACAUGCAGCAUGACAAGGCUGGCUAUAUAUGUUUGGUUUGGGCAUAUGAUAAGACAAGGUGGGAUAAUUAUCUAUACGUGUGUGGCGAGACAAGGCGAGCCUUUACUUAAUUGUUGUACAUGUGGUGAGACAAGGGGCUAUGUCGGGGAUGAUUUGUAAUAGCCUAGGGGUGUUGUUAUAGAUGAUAUUGUUUUGGUGGUGUGACCUCAUGCAUAUUACAGGUUUUGUGGUAUUGUUUCUAAUGUGUUACUCGGUGUCUCUGAUUUUACCUAUUGACUUGAAUGGUGAUAGUACACUUGCACAAACAUACACCGUAACAUGUCACUUAUAUCGGUCCAGCAAUAUGAAACUUGAUGUUUAUUGAUCAUGUACAUGUAUUCUCGUAUACCUGCCUUCUGUGCGUGGAUUGGACUGUUGGCACGUGAGUUGUCCGUGCGGAUAUGAGGUAUUGUUACUAUUGGCACGCGAGUUGUCCGCGCAGAUUUGAGGCUUUAAUGCUAUUGGCACGUGAGCGAUAUGUACAAUACGUGAUUUAUCUAUACAGUUAUGAUUGGUAAUGUGGGCACGCGAUGCCAUGUGAUUAUGAAUCAUUAUUUGGGACCCGUGACUUGUGAUUAUGAGGUGUAGUACCUGGUGGUGAUUCUUGUGUAACCCUUGUGAACGAAUGGUUGAUUAUUUGAUUGUCAUUUAUUUUCCUUAAUUGGGUUCACUGGAACUUUAAUUGUGUUUGUUUACUUUAUGUUGCUAUUGGUUGAUUCUACUUUCCAUUUGCUAGUGUUAUAUUGUUAUUCUUUCCAUGUUUAGCAUUAAUUGAUAUUCGUUCCUACGUUAGUUUAUAUUAAUACUUGCACAGGUUAUUAUGUCUAGUAGGUGUCUCGACUGUACCUCGUCACUACUCCACCGAGGUUAGUCUUGACACUUACUGGGUACCACUAUGGUAUAUUCAUGCUACGCUUCUAUAGAUCUAGGUACUUCUGAGCGUGUCGGACGUUAGCUAGCUAUUGGAGACUUGCUACAGAGACUUCAUGUAACGAUCCGACCGGUCAUUUUGCUUUUUAGAUCCCCAUUCCCCUAAAUAAGUCUCCCCAUAUAUGCUUUUACUGUUUGAUGACUUGCAAGGAUGGUUAGUUUGGAUUUGGAAGGGUUCGGGUUGAGAUCGGAACACUUAGUUCCAUAAUAUUGGCUUAAAAUGGUUAAGUUUGACUUGAGUCAACAUUUUGAGUAAACGACCACGGAACAGGUAUUUGACGGUCCCAAGAAGUUCAUAUGAUAAUUUUGGACUUGGGCGUAUGUUCGGAUCAGAUUUUGGAUGCCCCGGGAGCAUUUCGACGCUUAAUAUUGAAAGUUGGCGCAUUGAAGGUUUUCAAGUUUUUUAAAUUUGGUUUGAAGUAGGUUUUAGUGUUAUCGAGGUUCGUUGGGAUUCCAAGCCUGGGAAUAGCUCUGUAUGGUGACUUGUGACUUGCACACAAAAUUUGGCGUCAUUCCGAGUUGAUUUGAUAAGAAUCGGACGCGUGGAAGUGUUUCUAGAAGUUUUUGAGUUUCAUGUAUUUUGGCAUCCGAUUCAUAUUUCUAGAUGUUAUUUUGGUGUUUCGAUCAUGCAAGCGGGUCCAUAUUAUGUUGUUGGAUGUGUGAGUGUUAUUGGAUGGGGUCCCGAGGUCCCCGGAUGCGAAACGGAUUCGAAUCGGACUCGGAAAUUUGCAUGAAGGACUACUGGUGCACCUGUUCUGGUGCAUCCACACCUGUGAGAGUUUUGGCCGCAUGUGCGAGCUUUUGAUCGCAAAAGCGGCCUUGGAUUGGUGGUCAGUGUCUUGCAGAAGCGAAUGGAGUUCUACAGAAGCGGCGUCGCAGGUGCGCCCCAGGACCCGCAGAAGCAAAAAAUGUUGGGGCAGUGAGGUCCAUUUAAUGUCGGGACUGAGGUUAUUUUGGUUCAUUUCUUUCACCUCUUGGACGAUUUUAGAGCUCUUUGAAGAUGUGUUUUCACCUAGUACUUUGAGGUAAGUAAUUUCUAUACAAUAUGAGUUUAAUACAUAUAUUUUGGGUAGAUUCUUAACAUAUAAAUUGUAAAAAUUGUGGGUUUAGUUGAAAAACCUAGGGUUUGAUAAAAAUGAGAUUUAACCACGAAAAUGAUUAUGGAUUUGGAUAGAAAUUAUAUAUUUGAGUUUGUGAGGUUAUGGGUAACAUUUAUCUUUGAAAAUCUCAGGAAUCCGAGCACGUGGGCCCGGGGGUAAAUUUUAGGAAUCUUCCAUUUUGGAUCGGGUUGUACGACCUCGGCAUAAUUCGUGCGUGUUAAUGCUUGGAGCCCGGAUACACUUGAUAUUAUUUUCAUGACUUGAGAGGUUAUAAUUUAUUUAUUGGUCCGAAAUUGAUUUGGAGUUAGUAUGUGUUAGUUGGAGAUUUUUGGAAAUUUCUAUCAGUUAAAGAAUCAUUUAUUCACUGCUUGCUAUUAUGUCAUUGUCAUUAUUCAUAUAUUCCAUGCCUAUUUAGAAUUUCUAUAUUUUUAUUGUUGGCCCAUAGUAAGUGUCGAUGUCGACCGCUCGUCACUACUUCUUCUAGGUUAGACUGGAUACUUACUGGGUAUAUAUUAUUUACGUACUCACGCUACACUUCUACACUAGUCGUGCAAGAUCUGAGGCAGAUGCAUCUGGUGUUCAUUCAGGCGCGCACCCUCGUUAUCCUGAGGCAUAGUGGCGAGCUGCUCUCUGAGUCUGUUCUGCAUCACCCGCCAUCUCUUUCUUUUGUAUUUACUUUUUGUCUACUCUAUUUCAUACAAUAGCUUAGUGUUUUAUAUAUUCUACUAGUUGCUCAUUCACUUGUGAUACCGAGUUUUGGAAAUAUGCUAGUAGAUAUUUAAGGAUUUUUG